UUUCAGAUUUUGGAUUGCCUUCUCAAACUCUAACCAUGAAGCCAAAAAUUCACUCUAACAUAGAAAGAUGUUUGAGAAGGAGAAAGACAAAAAUUAGUUCAUCAAAGCAAUAUCCAGGAGAGGGGUGAACAGAUGGAAGAAAUCAAAAACCUAAGACUUCAGGGAUAUAUGCAUGGACUGAUUUGAGUACUAGAGAAAAGUUCACCACCGGCAGCAGAUAAGCGAUGAAAAAUGGCCGGGUCCACUUGCUUACUAAUGGUGCACAACGACUGUAGGAUGCGCAGUACGAAAGCAGGAGCAGAGAGGUUCACAUGACAAGACUGUUAUGAGUACGGGUUAUCAAGGAAACCACAAUCAUCCUUACCGCCGUAAGACACAGCAAUGGCUCACACAACCUCUGCAGCUGCUACUAGGCUCCUCUCAGGUUUAGCCAUGAGAAACAAUAGAGAGCUAAGUCUCCAAGCAAAUAGUCUCUUCUCUUCUCUUCACCAUCAACAUCUCCUUUGUUCUCUUACACUGCUGACAUUGCUACUCUAUCAACCCCUGCACCAUCGGUCAAACUGCACACCAGAUGCAUUGUAACGUUAAAACUUAAAUCUUUUCGUGGCUUAAGGUCAAUCAUCGUACAAUUGGAGUACCCUUCAGCGACUGGAUAUUCACAUUUCGAAUGGCAACUACCUUAGGUCUUUGGAUCUUGAUUUUAUCUCUGGCCUGUAUAAAUGGAAUUGGUUUUGUACUUGAUGUUCUUUUGGUUUUUUUGAUGAUUAGAACUUGUCUGUAUACUGUGUUGUUCACAUUGUACAGUUUUUCAUUGUACUAGAAAUGUAAACUUCAACAACCACUAUUGUAAGACAUGCCAUCUGUAUAAAAUGUUCAUUCAUUGAUGAAAGUUUACAUACAAAUUA